rnacentral:rRNA from 1 species
AGCAGCCGCGGUAAUUCCAGCUCCAAUAGCGUAUAUUAAAGUUGUUGCAGUUAAAAAGCUCGUAGUUGAAUUUUAGGCCUGGCCGGGCAGUCCGUCUCUGGCGAGUACUGUCCUGUUGUCGGUCUAUCCUUCUGGUGAGCCGAUAUGUCCUUUGUUGGGUGUGUCGGGGAACCAGAACCAUUACCUUGAAAAAAAUUAGAGUGUUUAAAGCGGGCUUUUGCUUGAAUAGAUUAGCAUGGAAUAAUAAAAUAGGACGUUGGUUCUAUUUUGUUGGUCUAGGACCAUCGUAAUGAUUAAUAGGGAUAGUUGGGGGCAUUAGUAUUCAAUUGUCAGAGGUGAAAUUCUUGGAUUUAUUGAAGACUAACUACUGCGAAAGCAUUUGCCAAGGAUGUUUUCAUUAAUCAAGAACGAAAGUUAGGGGAUCGAAGACGAUCAGAUACCAUCGUAGUCUCAACCAUAAACGAUGCCGACUAGCGAUCGGCGGUCGUUGGGAAGGUUGUUUUGGUCUCAGGUCAAACUG